UGAACGCUUGAUGGUUACUUUAAGGCAA
rnacentral:piRNA from 1 species